UACAGAGGGGGCAAGCGUUGUUCGGAAUUACUGGGCGUAAAGGGCGCGUAGGCGGCCUGCUAAGUCGAACGUGAAAUCCCUGGGCUCAACCCAGGAACUGCGUCCGAUACUGGUUGGCUUGAAUCCGGGAGAGGGAUGCGGAAUUCCCGGUGUAGCGGUGAAAUGCGCAGAUAUCGGGAGGAACACCAAUGGCGAAGGCAGCUUGCUGGGACGGUACUGACGCUGAGACGCGAAAGCGUGGGGAGCAAACAGG
rnacentral:rRNA from 1 species